GUGUGAGCUCGCUCACAUUGCCGGUCCCAAGCCCGGAUAAAGGAGGAGGGUUGCCGAGGGUCAAUCGGAAACAGCCUCCCUACCCAGGUAGGGGUAAGGCUGCGUACAUCUUACCCUCCCCAGACCCCACUAUUGUGGGAUUACACUGGGUAGUGACCAAGACUUAGAUAUACUAAUUUGUACUAUUAUAUCCACAGAUAUUUUGUUAUCAUAUUUUCAGUUAAAUUUGUCAAUUUGAAUAAACCAUAUACUUUUUAGGUAUAUUUUCAUGUACGUUUGUUAUACAAUAUAAUAUACCAUAUGUUUUUGUGUAAUAGACUAUUUAUUACAACGAUUGUUUUUCAAACUGUUGCCUAAAAUUCUCUAUUGCAACGGUUGGUUUUUUCAAUUUUUGUUUUCUUUUUCUUUUCCCAUGCCUUUUCUUUUUUCAUUUAUUAUCUGCUCAAGUUCAAGCCCCAUCCCUAUAUCUCUUAUACACCUUCUCAUCUCGUUCGUCCUCUCCCUUCUCUCCCCCUCUCUAUCAUCAACGAUGUCACUCCGCUCAGUUUUAUCAGUUGCCUCAGAAACCCUAAACCUCACGCCGCUCGCAUCAAGAAAUUCCCUACAAAAUUCGUAGAUCUGGGCUGAGUUUGUAAGGAUUUUCUGUCCUCCCAACGGAAUCUGUCUAGAUAUAGAACACUCAACAACACUAUGAAUCGAAAAUAUAUAUGACUCUCCAAGGUUGAAGGAGUGAAAGCUAGUAUCAUGAAGUAGAAAUACGAUAAGAUCAGUGAGAAAAAGAUGUUAACACUAAUGGAGGUGGAUCGAAUGAAAAAAGAGUGGAUAAAAGCGGUGAAGACCCUGCUUAGAGUUAUGCGAUUGUUCCUGUAACAUUAGUGUAUUUGAAUAUUUUUGGAAUCUUCUUUAGGGAAAUUUUCUCAUUACUUUGAGAGCUAAUUAUGCAUGCUUUUGAAUUGUUAGACAAUGUAAUACAGUUUACUUUUAUGUAAAAGUCUCAACAAAUUAUUGUAAUAUCCUCUCCAUA